rnacentral:rRNA from 1 species
UACGGAGGGUACAAGCGUUAUCCGGAUUCACUGGGCUUAAAGGGUGCGUAGGCGGUUCUUUAAGUCUGUGGUUAAAGCUCCGAGCUUAACUCGGAAACUGCCAUUGAUACUAUAUGUCUUGAAUUCGGUUGAGGUUGGCGGAAUGUGUCGUGUAGCGGUGAAAUGCUUAGAUAUGACACAGAACACCGAUUGCGAAGGCAGCUAGCUAGACCGACAUUGACGCUGAGGCACGAAAGCGUGGGGAUCAAACAGG